UGUAGUUACUGUCCUCAAAGAGCUUACCUUCUAAAAGGGGAAGGGAGCAUAGUAAAACCAGAAUAUGUGGUGUGUUAGAAAAUGAGUACAAGGGACAAAAAAUAUGAUUACUUUUUUAAAAUGAUCUCUGGAGAAAUGUCUGCAGGGGUGAAAGGAAGCGGAGUCUAUAGAGGUUUUAGUGGUAAAUCAAGUGAGACGACUGGUUUGGUCUAGGUGAUAGCAAAAAAGAUGGAGAGAUGACCACAUUUGGAAUGAGUUUUGAGGGUACAGUCAAUAGGACUUGCUGAUUAGACUGAAUGGAUUAGAGGUGGUCAGAAAAGGCGUCACUGAUAUUCCUGGGUUUUGUGUUCAACCAAGGAGAUGAAGAUGAAAAGUCAGGACGAUUGGGGAGUGUGUUUGGAAGCAGAGGAGGCAGAAGCCAAGAAUUCUCUUUCACUCGUGUUAAGCAUGAGCUGUUUAUUGGACAUCUAAAUGGGGAAUGGUGAAGAGAACGGAGUGGAGCGGUAGCUCGAAGCGGGUCCUUGUCUCGCGCGGAUGAGGGGCUGCUGCCCAAAUGAGCUCAUGCAUUUGGACCAAGGGGAGAGAUGGGAGGUUCCAGGAGGAUCUUCCUGGAGGGGUCAGGAGCAGUUUGAAGAAAAGCGGGUUGAAUGAUGGAAUUGUGAUAGACUGUUUCUUCCAUCUCCAUAUUUAUACUCUUUAGUUUUCUUUAAUUACCUAGGGCAUCCAGUGCUGGGUUGAAUAGAAGAAAUCUGUCUUGUACCUGAUAGUAAAGUGAUGCUUCUGGGGUUUUUUUGUUUGUUUGUUUUUUGAUGCUUCUGUUUUUUAGUUAGAAUUAUAAAGUAUGUUAAAUUCAAUGGUUGAUGUAUGAUUUUGUAGUAUAUGCUUUGUAAAGUAAGAAAAUUCGAUUUCUAGUUCAUUAAGCAUUUUCAUUAGGAAUAGGUUUUGAAUUAUAUCAAAUGCUUUUCUACUUCUGUUGAAGUAAUCGUAUUUUUUCCCUCCUUUAAUCCAUUAAUGAAUGACAUUCAUGAAUUUUUUAUGUUAAAAUUUUACAUUCCAGGGGUAAACUAUCACUUGAUGCUUUUUGCUUAAUUCUGUUUACUUUUAUAACUAUGUUCAUAAAGAUUUCUGUACAUGUAUUUUUACUAUUAAGUUUACAUUAGGCUUAUAAAGUGAUUUCGGAGCAUUCCCUCUGCUUUCUGUAAUAACUUAUUGUGAGGUUUACCUUUUUUUUUCCCCCAAAUGGGUUGGUUUAAUUCCAGACAGUACAGAAUUCAGGAUAGAAUAAAGACUGAAGAACACACUUUGGCAGGAUUUUGGUUUGGUUUCACUCUGCCCUCCUAGCUAAGGCUGAAAUGGCCGAGUGAGAAGGAUAAAGAGAUGAGCCACGGCAUUAUUAUCAUUAUUAUUAUUAUUAUUAUUAUUAUUUUUAAUUUUUUUACAAAAAGUUUGCUCUUAAAUGUACAACAGGCUCCAAGACAGAACUUCAUUCUAGCUAUAGGUGGCAACAGGUGUGAUGGCAGGGAAUUCAGAUGUUAAAAAGGAAUGGAAUUAAGGAUCACAACUGCCCCAAGCACAAGGAACAGCUCACUUCUUGCCAGAUUUCUUAACCCCCCUGUGGCCAGGGAGCCCUUCCCCACAGCCUCCUGGGCUUCUGCCUGCCUGAGGGCCCCAUCUUCCUCGUCCAUAUCCUAGGCUGCUUCUUGCCACCUUCGCAGCUGGACAUAGCACCUGCCACCCCUACCUUUUUUUUUUUUUUGAUAAAAUUGCCUAUAAAAACCAAGUGGACCUAGUAUUUAUUAUUGGGAGAAGGGAGGGAGGAAGGCUUAAAAUUCUAAUUUCUUGUUUGGUUUAAUAAGUGGUUAUAGAUCUAGUCAGGUUUUCUCUGUCACCACAAGUCAGUUAUAUAUAAAAUUGCCCAUAUGUUUCUGUUUUCAAUGUCGUUGACAUAAGUUCUUCACAAUUCUUCACACUCAUCCUGUUUCCUAUUUCUAAUCUUAUUUGUAAUUUUCCUUUUUUCUUGAUCAGUCUUGCAGAAGAUUUGCUAUUUUAGUAGUUGUUUGAAGGUGCAAAUUUGCAGUGUUAUUGAACAUUUUUUAUUCCUUUCUAUUUCAUUUUUGCUCUUAUCUCACUUCUUACUUUCCUUAGGCUUACUUCUUUUUUUUUAACUUAUUGAGUUAGACAGUUUAAUUUCACUAUUUUUCUCUAAUAUAUUUAUCUAAGACUCUAAAUUUCAUGUAAUACUGUGGUAGACUUAAGGUUAUGGCCACAAAAUUCUUUGAUACUCUUCCCUUCAAGAGGCAGAGCUAAAUUCUUCCCCCCUUGAGUGUGGACUGGACUUAGGGAGUCACUCUGAACAAACGGAGCAAUGCGGAAGUGAUGGUGUGUGGACUUGGAAUUGGAUGGCCCAGCUUCAGAUAACUGCAGCUCCAGGUGUAUCUUGAAUGCAACCUCCGGAAAGACCCUGAGCCAGAACCACCCAAGUUGCUCCCAGAUGCCUGACCCACAGGACCUGUGAGAUAAUGAAUGCCACUCCCCUGGUCUCAGCAUUCCUCUACAAAGAGACUUCUCUGAGGGAAUGAUGCUGGUGGCAAUGACUUCAAAACUCAUCAUGAGGACAAGGAGCUCUGUCUUCUUUGUAAUGAAGUGAGACGGGAAGAAUUCACAAAGAUAAUACUCACUGCUGCUCUUCUCUUUGAAUUCAGAGGACAGUCAACCCUAGAGCUGCAGGAAGGCUGGCCAUGACCAGAGGCCACCCUUGGCUCUGCCCCUUCCUCCAUCUGUGGUUCUGGCACAGCCUAGCCUUGCGUUUUCCACUCGGAGGCAGAGAAGGUCGAGCGUCAGCGGGAGGACC